AGUGUUUUCCUCUCCGCCUGAGCGUCGGUGGUCGCGGUGCUGCGCGCCUGACUAACAUGCAGUGCAGAGCGGCGGCCGUGCUGCGCACCGUCAUCAUCAUCAUCAGCAGCAGCAUCAGCAUCAACAACACCCGCGCGCCUUGGACACCCGUGCGCACGCCUCCACUCCGGUCCACGGACGCCUCCUCGCGGGACUCUCUUUCGGGGACCCAACUGUGAGAGGAGAGACAAAAACAAAACAAAAAAAACCGGACCACCAGGACGCAGAAGAAGAAGUGAAAGAAGAUGGACUCCCAGUGACGCACCGACCUUUGACGCGCCGCUCGCCGGUCGGACUAUAACGCUUGUGGAUUGCAUGAAACACAGCAGGGGGCGAAUGCUGAAUUACGAUCUGAUUGUCUGAGUUCGGGGGUCGCCCCCGUCAUUCUGUCGCAACCCCCCUUCUCCUUCCACGCCGCGCGGCUCCUCUCCGUCCGCACGCCAGGAUGCAGCUGCUCCGCGUUGCGUGGGCAAUAACCGGAGCCGCGAUCUGCUGCUUCCUCGUCCUCCUCAUCCACUCCCGCCUGCUCAAAGAAGGCCAGCUGGCGGCGGGGACAUGUGAAAUUGUGACGCUGGACAGGGACAGCAGCCAACCGCGGCGGACCAUCGCCAGGCAGACGGCCCGCUGCGCCUGCAAGAAGGGCCAGAUCGCCGGAACUACAAGAGCGAGACCCGCCUGUGUGGACGCUGGCAUCGUUCGGAAAAAGCAGUGGUGCGAGAUGGUGCCGUGUUUGGAGGAUGAAGGCUGCGACCUGCUAGUCAAUAAAUCCGGCUGGACUUGUACGCAGCCCGGAGGCCGAGUCAAAACAACCACGGCCCUAUGACGCAACAAGAGUCCCGCUCCACACCCUUGCACUACGGAGAGCAUUGACGACCCCCUUGACAGACCGCCAAAAAGCACCACCACCUUCCCACCAAUUCCACGUCACAGCCAGUCCAUUCCCUGGAAGUCCUCCAUCCUGCACCCCGGUCCUCAUGGAGGCAGCAAGGUGUCGUAACCUCGCCAGGGGCCCCAUCUCUGCUCUGGACUAACCGUUUCUUGCGAGCCUCUCCAUCUGCAGCAGGCUUCCACCUUGUCUCGCUACAAUCUGUCCAAUCAGACGCUCUUCUUUGCUCCACGUCUUGGAAAGGGUCGGACUCCGGGGAUGGAAAAAAAAAACCGACAAAAAAAGAACCAUGCGAGGUUUUUGGACGACUUCGGAAUUGCUUGGACUAAAGACUACACCCUGCCCCGCCCCCCCAGCUCCACCUCCCGCCUCCGCCUCUCCUUUCCGGAAGAGCAGGAGCGAGGAGCACUUGUGAACUCUCUGCUGUGAAUAAGCCUUCUGCCGGAGCAAACCUCCCAUAUUUUUAUAGACCAAAGAGCAAAAAGAAGAGAAACUGCUGACACAGCAGAUCAUCUUGGCCGGUGCUCAGCGGACACCUUACACUCCAAGGAGUACUUUUGACAAUUUGCAGACAAUUUUUUUUUUUCCGUCGCUCCGAGCGAGCCCACUGUAUUUUGGACCUGGAGAUAUAGGUACUGCAUACGUAUAACUGUGUAUCAGACAAAAAAAAAACAAACAAAAAAAAAUCUGAUUUGCAUUUUUUUAGUAGCGACGGCUGUGUUGGGAAAGGAGGCAAAAAGGUGGACUCCAGGUGGGAGGAAGUGUCAUUAAAUGUAUUUUGGAAGGUCCUAAAAGUUAUAUAUUUACCAGUUUUUCUAUGUUGUACCUUUGUAGAGAAGCUUAUUGGACGUGUGCUCACAAUGACCAUGAGGAUGUUGUUCUCGCCACUCCUUCCGUUCACACCUCGCUGCUUUCUGCUUUCUGCUUUCUGCUUUCUGUUCAUGCUCAUCUCCAAGUCUCUGUGUCCGGUCCAAAAGAGAGAGAGAGAAAUCAAAAACACAAUUUAUGGAGGACUGACGUGCAGCCCACUUAACAUUGUAAAUCUAUAGUAGUCAGUGGAACGAGCUGCUAUGAUAUUGUAUCGUACACCACGUGGAAUACUGACUCCUUUCCUCGCUUUUGGGUUUUGAUCUCUUAAUUUAUUUCCGUGCUUGUGUUUGUUUGCACAGAUGGGACGCCGACAAAUGGAAUGAAGAGAUAGGGAACAGCAGAGCAAGCCUUGCAGAGAUGUUACAGUCAUUGACAUAACUUCUUUUUUUUUUUUUAAUCGUUAUGAUCAUCAUGAGAUAUUUUAAGAAUAAAUUAAAUACAUGAAAGAAAAUGUGCCCGGGGAAAUUUCACAUGUUGUUAAAAGUCUCAGUUUUGGUCUCCUGUUUUCUGACACCAAAUAUUAGCAUAGGGUAAA